rnacentral:rRNA from 1 species
UACGGAAGGCAGCAGUGGGGAAUAUUGCACAAUGGGCGCAAGCCUGAUGCAGCCAUGCCGCGUGUAUGAAGAAGGCCUUCGGGUUGUAAAGUACUUUCAGUCGUGAGGAAGGUAUUAAGGUUAAUAACCUUAGCAAUUGACGUUAGCGACAGAAGAAGCACCGGCUAACUCCGUGCCAGCAGCCGCGGUAAUACGGAGGGUGCGAGCGUUAAUCGGAAUUACUGGGCGUAAAGGGCACGCAGGCGGUUAAUUAAGUUGGAUGUGAAAUCCCCGGGCUUAACCUGGGAAUGGCAUUCAAGACUGGUUAGCUAGAGUCUUGUAGAGGGGGUAGAAUUCCAUGUGUAGCGGUGAAAUGCGUAGAGAUGUGGAGGAAUACCGGUGGCGAAGGCGGCCCCUGGGACAAAGACUGACGCUCAUGUGCGAAAGCGUGGGGAGCAAACAGGAUUAGAUACC